rnacentral:rRNA from 1 species
UUACCGGGCAUAGCCCGGAUAUAAAUAAAUAAUAAAAGGUUAACAAUAAACUUCUAAUUAUGUAUAAUAAUGAUAUAUAUAAGAAAGAGUCCUGACCAAAACGUGUGCCAGCAGCUGCGGUUAGACAUGGUGGGCAAGCAUUAAUCAGAAAGGCUUAAAGAAUCAGUAGUACGGUUAAAAUAUUUUAACUAGAAUAAAUAAAAUAGGUUAUAUGAAAUAAUAUUUAAGGGAUGAAAUACUAUGAAAAUAUUAUAACAGCAAAGAAAUAACUGAAUAUUUAUUGACGUUGUGAGAUGAAGGCUACGUUUGCGACAUGGAUUCGAUACCCAUUUAGUCGUAGCAGUGAACUAUGAAUACUAUAAUAACUUAUUUAUAAGUUAAGAAUAAUUAAAAUGUAAAGUAUUCCGCCUGAAUAGUACGCUCGCAAGGGUGAAAUACAAGACAUUAGACGGUUGUAGUCUUAAGCAGUGGAACAUGUUGUUUAAUUGGAUGAUCCUCCUAAAACCUUACCAUCUCUUGAAUUAUUAACAGGCGUUACAUCGUUGUCGUCAGUUCAUGCCAUGAGGUAUUAUAUUAAGUUAUAUAAUGAACACAAUCCUUAAUAAUAUAUUUAUAUAUUAUAAAGUAUUUUUUACAAAUAAUAGGAAGUCAAGGGCGAAGACUAAUCAUGAUGACCCUAAUGAGAUGGGCUAUAGACGUGUUACGAUGUUAUUGACAAUUAUAUAAAUUUAUAUUUAAAUAUUUAUUAUUAUUAAACAAUAAGAUUAUGAUUUUUAUCUUUCAUGGAUUAUAGUUUGAAAUUCAACUAUAUGAAGGAGGAAUUGCCAGUAAUCGUAAACUAGAGAGUUACGGUGAAAUUUAAUACUACUUCGUACUAACCACUCAUCAACAGCAAGAAAUUUUUACUUUCCUGAAAAGUUUAUUUUUAGGUUCGUUUAUAAGUGACCUGUUGUAAGUUGAAAUACGGUUCGGUUAGGGGAACCUGAUCGGGAUUUAUUACUU